AAAAUUCUACUACGUUUACAAUUUAUUCUUUAAAAAAAAUGUACGGUACACCUUUUGGAGAGUCUUUGUCUUUAUAAAAACACAAACCCAAACGAUGUAUUCCCAAUCAAAAGUCAAGCUCACUCUAACUUCAGUUUCUCUUCGUAUGAAUACUAUUAACACCGAUGCUUGCGAUACAGAGAUAGAGAAGGAGGAAAAAAAAAAAAAAAAAAACCUUGCGAUACAGAGAUGAGAAGGAGACAGAGUUCGUUCACUUGCCAGAAUUAUACCACUCGAACUGGAGGUAACCUAAAGGUGCACGCAGGAAUUGAGAUACAAACAUAGAGAGAACUACCACCGGUUUGGAGAUGGCAAAGAUAGAGAAAUAAGAGAGAAUCUGAAUUCGUUAUUUGGAUAGAGCAUUGGUAACAAGAGAAAUCUAUCAUCUUCCUGUCAGAACGCUAGAAACCUUUAUCGUGCCACAACUACACAAUUGAAGAGCUCAUCACAAAGAGCUUACAACGUUGACAUUGUCCUCCUUAGCAAUCAGAUUGGCCAAAUGACUACGAAGAAAGGUGCAUCAUAGACAACAGUACCUAAUCUUUCUCCCUCUCUUUUCGGUAUUGGAACACCAUUUUUUCUUUUCUUUCCUUUUGGGUUUUUAAUUUUGGCGGAUUAUUAUUGGAACACCAGUGUUUGAAGAAAUGCUUAAACUGAACUUUGGAUUGGAUGUGUAGAGCCCAAUUGUUUAUGCACGUACAAUGCUAUUUACAGAUUUCUUUUAAAUUUUGUUGUGAAUUGUGAUAUCAAUAUUUGGUUAAGUAUAAGUAUGUGGGAUUGGCCUAUGUAUGCUCAACAUACAUAUUCAUAUUGGUAUAUUUAAUUUGUGUUGGCCAAUUGGGUUUGUGUAUGACCUUGGAUCCUUGCUGUCUAAUUGUCUCUCUCAAAAGGCUAAAUACUUUGUUAUGUUGAGUUAUUUGGGUUUUGUUUGAAUGAUUUUUGCUGUUUUUUACAGGUAAACUUUGGCUCUGGUAAUUAUUAUUAUUAUUUAAUUUUCUAUUAAUAAAGCAUAUUUACACUCAAAAGUUGUUGGGUUAGUAAGUGAAGGGUUCCAUCCUACCUUUUUGUUAUUAAUUUUUGACGAUUUCUAAGCUAUUCUUUAUGUUGGUGCUAUUUAUCAAUUUUUUUUUUUUGAGAUUGCUUGGAAUGAAAGAUUAUGGGUGAGAAAGUUGGGAUACUUUUAAACCCAAUUUUGUUGGGUAAGCAAUUGUGGAGAUUUGAGCAGGAAAGAAAUCACCUUUGGAAGUGAGUUUCUUGAAUAAAGUAUGGGAAGGUUAGGGACAAUUGACAUAGGAUUUAGCAAUUGCAACCUUUGGAGAAACAAAAAGCUUUAACUUAGCCUCAUUUGAUCAAUUGCUUCCAAGGAUAUUCUCAGCAUUCUCUUUUAGCUAGGAUUUUUUUUUUACCUUAAUUGCUAGAAAUAUUUUGUAUACAUCCCAAGGGAUGUUACCAUUAACCUUUUUUAUUUGAGAAAAAGUUACCGUUCACUUUAGUUGCUUAUAAUAUGCUUAAAAGAAAUCUAUUUGUAAGAAUCAUAUUGUGAUGGAAAUUAUAUGUGUUAUUAUACGACUCUUCUAAAACUAUUU